AACGGUCUAUACCUGCGGUACCUGCGGAGGGAUCAUUAUUGAAUUGAACGGGGGCGCUUGGUCGGGCCUGCACCGGUGGAGACGCCGUGCUGCGGUCUGCCUCGCGCCCUCUUCCAAACUCAAACCCCUGUGAACCUUUGGGAGGGAUGCGCCGAGUCCGGAGCGCCCUCCCGUUUUACAACCAACUCUGAUGUCUAUUUGAAUGUUGAGAUUCGGGGCAGCCCCGAUGUCUAAUCAAAA
rnacentral:misc_RNA from 1 species